GUUCAUAGGCUGGGACGCCACUGUUGCUGCGCUGCUUGGGUUUAAUUUUGACAAGAACUACAGCGACAUAAUUAUGUCUGAGGCAACCCUAAGCUCUCGUUUAAAUUAAGGAAUCAAACUUGAAUUGUGAGCAUUGCAUCCCAACCUACAUCCUACCAAACGAGCGCAGAAUCUUUCACGUUAUCCUUGAUUCUACGUGUCGAUAAGAAAUCACCAGAUGGCGCCACUCCGUCUUCUCGGGCCUAUUGCGCGAACGCCAUAGCUAAUUUUCUUCCGGAGGUAUAAAAGUUCGAAGCUCAGGUCUAGGAGAUGGCCAAAGUUUCGCUAUGCUUAUUUCCACAGCCGUCAAUUUCACACCGAAGCAUGCUUAGAAUAAUAUAUCUUCGUCAAUUUAAUUUACAAAAUGUUUACAACAUGCACCCCAGGUAUUAAAAAAUACACUGAAAUUUUUUUAGCAAAGAAAAUUCACCAAACACGUCAAAUAAACCCUUUUUAAAGAAAUAUUCUUAAAGUAUUUAGCAACAAACUACUUAACACAAGACGACGCAAAAUACGUCAAACUGGUAGUAUAUAAUUGCAUUUUCGAAUAAAUAAGAAACCUGUUAUUAGCCAUUAUAUUGUGACAAGUAGUAAUGCAGAAACGCAGAUCAUUUAUCUAGUUGAACUGUAACAAAAUUUCACUUCGAUGUUUAAAAAAAAAACUCCAUUUUCAAUUUUCUUUAAACUCUCCUGAACCUUUCAGAGUGAUAUUAACUAACUUCUGAAGGCAAAAGACUCAACAGCAUAUGACAUCCUCAAGGGAAAAAUGAAUGCAGACCUUCCCUUAAAUUGUGCUAUCUUGUCUUCAUUAUAGGGGCUUUACCGCACGACACCGGCUCCACAUUUCGUUUACAACCGACAAAGGAUGUACAGCGGUGCUGCACUACGUAGAAAGCCGUGCUGCCCCUAGGACUGUCGGGGGACUGCAGGCAUCUGAAAACUUUAAGCACAGCCCCGUUGCUGUGAAGCCAAAAGUACUCACAUGAAGACUCCAAUGCUUCUCAGCGAGCAACUCAGUGCGCCCAAGACUGCCGAGCUGUUCCUCGAAAGAUGCCGAGUGCAACCUGUAGCGCUGUGGGCUGCUCAAGCAACCCGCCGCGCAACGCGGAUGUGUUUUUUCACAAGUUUCCAAAGCACCAGAAAUUGGAGA